rnacentral:tRNA from 1 species
AGAGAGGAUGAAUCUGGUGGUUCACCCGGUCUUCAAAACCGGUAUCCGGCGCUUAACCCCGUCGAUGGCAGGUUCGAUCCCUGCCCUCUCUGCCA